CUGCCUUUUUUGUAUUUUUAGUAGAAAUGGGGUUUCGCCAUGUUGCCCAGGCUGGUCUAGAACUCCUGAGCUCAAGAGAUCCACCCAUCUCAGCCUCCCAAAGUGCUAGGAUUACAAGCAUGAGCCAUCCCACCCAGCAGAUACAGGGAAUUUUUAGCAAUUCUGUUAUUCAUAAAACCACAAAGUAUAGUCUCUAAUCAGUUUUAUGUUGCAAAAUACGAAUGCUCUCUGGAUAAUUGCUGACAUGAGAACAUCUCGUCAUUUCCCACUGGUUGGUAUUUAUAUGCUGAAGGAUUACUGCUACUUCAAUAAAAUCUGAAGAAAAUUCAUUUAAUUUUGUUAAAGAUGCCUCAAAUCAGUAGCACAUAUAUUUAUUUGGUAAACUGAGCACUGUCAUGCUUAUACAUUGUGGAGCUAAAUAAGGGUUUUUUGUUGGUUUUUUUUUUAAUUCACAUGAACUUCCAGACUUUGAGUUUGUCUUCUCUGAAUAAAAGAUUGAAGCUUUUGAAAUGAUACUGUGUUCUACUCUUUUACAAUUAUUUUAUUGAUAGGUAUUCCUUAACAUGAUUCGCUUAUUUUAAAAAGAUAGUGUAGUGAUUUUGGCUUAAGGUUUUAAGUAUAAAAAGAAUUAGCACUGAUAAAAUUUAUACCCUAUAAAAGUAUUUCGUCUGACUUUAAGGAGGUAGCUUUUUUCCCUAUACAAACUGACCUGAAAUUACUUUUAUAUGAUAUAGCAGGAAUAGUUUUUGUUUUUUGUUUUGAGACAGAACUGACAGUCUCCUACAUUCUAGCUGACCAGCCUCGUCAUUCUAGCCAGACUGGAAUGCAGUGGUGUAAUCCUAGUUCACUGCAGCCUUGAACUCCUUGGCUCAAGUGAUCCUCCUGCCUCAACCUCCUGAGUAGCUAGACACACCCAGCUAGUUAACAAAAUUUUUUUUGUUGAGAUGGGGUCUGUGUUAGCCCGUUCUCAAACCGCUAUAAAGAACUACCUGAGACUGGAUAACUUAUGAAAAAAAGAGGUUUAAUUGACUCACCGUUCCACAGGCUGUACAGGAAGCAUGGCUGGGAGGCCUCAGGAAACUUAACAAUCAUGGUCAAAGGUGAAGGGGAAGCAAGCAUGUCUUACCAUGGCAGAGCAGGAGUGGGAGAGAGUGAAGGGGGAAGUGCCACACACUUUUAAACCAUCAGAUCUUGAGAGAACUCACUCACUAUCAUGAGAACAAGGGGGAAGUCUGUCCCCAUAAUCCAAUCACUUCCCACCAGGUCCCUCCCCCUAACACUGGGAAUUAAAUCCAACAUGAGACUUGGGUGGGGAUACAGAGCCAGACCAUAUCAGGGUCUCAUCAUUUGCCCCAGCUGGUCUUGAAAUAAAAUUAUAAGUGUAAAAUGCUUAGAGUACAUAGAUGUAAUUUACAAGUAUACUAUUAAUGGUGGAUAUAAUAAUAAACAACUGCAUAAGUAUCAUUCUUUCAAGCUAUUUUAGAAGUCUGUUAACUUAUUCUGCUGUUGCUGCCUAUACUCAAGACCUUUUUAACUUGGGAAUUGCCUUCAGAGUUGCCUAAUGAAAAGAGUUCUCAUUAUUUCGUGGUUUAUCUAAAAGCUAUUAUCUUAGAACAAAAUGAGCUACUUUUAGAGUGCUUGCUAUGUGCCAAGCAUUUUGGUGAGCUAUACAUUGUUUUAUUUAAUCCUCAUUUAUCUAAGGAGUACAUAUUAGUCCUAUUUUACAGCUGAGGAAACUGAAACCCAGAGAAGUUUUGUAAUAACUUGCCCAGGAUUACACAAAGAAGUGAUGGAGCCUACUCUUAACCAUUAGGGUAUGGUACCUCUUAAUUAAAUCUUGCUCCCCCAGUGACUGGAAUCUUCUUUUCUUUGUUUUCUUAUACUUGGUUGGUUCAUCUUUCUAACUGUAUCAUCUUAUCAGGCACAAGAUUUGUGAGUGGUUAGAACAUAGGGUGGCCCAACAAUGGAGUGGUCAAAAGACAGGAGGAAGUGUUGGAUGUUUAAUUUUUAACAUCUCAGAGUAUAGUUUGGAAAGCUCUUUAAAGUAGUUUGUUAAAUGUAUGAAAUAUUUCAAACAUAUAAACAAAUAGCCCCAUUAUCUCCCACCCAUAUUUAACAGGCAAUUUUAAUAUAUUUCCACAUUUGCUUCAUAUUUUUUUUUAAUUAAGUACAGCCUUAAGCAACCACUGGCCACUUCCCAUUAUCACCAUCAUUGGUAACCUGCUGUCCAGGAGUUGAUAGAGUUUAUCAAUCCCAUGAAUAUAUGUGAACAGAUACCUAAUGCAUGUGUAUAGGUAUAUGUUAUUUUUAUUCUUUUUACAAACAGUAGAAAAAUUAGAUCCUUGUAUGUGUCUGUUUCUUAAGGACACGAGAAGAGUUUCUCAAUUCGCAAAAAAUUAAAAACUACAAAGGAAAGAGAAUAGAGAAGUCUGACUGUAAUCAGACUUAAAGCUUCUGUAUCACGGGAUAACGUGAACAAAGUGAAAAAACAAGCCACAAUGAAAAUAUUUGCAACCCUAUAACCAUCAAAGGACUAAGAUCUAAAUUAUAUACAUGUAUGUACAUGAGAUCACAGGUGCUGUCACCGGUCCUAAGAACUCACUGAUGUGGCAGUACAUGAGACAUAAGUUAAAAAUCUUCCAGUAUUGUGAAUUUGCCCAUUUUUAUAUGUAAUUAUGUAAAUUUUUGCUGUAUAUGUUUUGAGGCCAUGUUACAUGUAUGUCUACAAGGGCAGAAUUGUUGUAUUUUUCUGGUGAAUUUUUUUUAUCAUUAUAUAAUGACUUCUCAAUUAUGCAUUUUGAGUAAAAAUCUGAUGUAACUAGAACCACGUUAGCUUUCUUUUUAUUAAUAGUUGAUGUCUUUCAGCCUUUUACUUCCUGCUUUUCUUUGUUUUUAUUUCAAAUGUAACACAAAGCCUGUUUUUUUCCCUUUAGCGUAAGUAUUGUCUAUUAUAAACCUCAAAUAGCUACAUUUUGGGUUCUUUUGUAUAAAAUCUUUUACCAGCCAAGUUUAGUCUAUUUGCAUUUAUGGUAAUUACUCAUAAAUUUGGAUUCAUUCAUUAUUAUUUUAAUGCUUUCCAUUUAUUAUGCUUUUUCUUUGCUUAUUUGUCCCAACCCUCUAGUCCUGAGUUUGUUAAUACUGCUCUUGUAUUCUUUAUUCUGUUUUUCUCCCUUCCUCUAUUGGUUUGGAAAUUACACAUUCUCUUUCUUCCUUUAGUGUACCCUUUCUAUCCUUUAGUGGUACCUAUGUAUUUUGACAUACAUAAAUAAAGUCUAAGUUAAUAAUAUCUGUACCCUCUUUUUAAUGCUUUAAUUGUAACACUUUAGAGUACCUUAAUGUAGAUGUCUCCUCUGCCUUACAUGUCCUUAUUGUACAGCAUUUUAGCUCCACUUUGUUUUUGUACCCCAAAUGAUUAUGACUACUAUAAUAACUAUUAUUACUACUAUUUAUAUAGCUAAAGUUUAUUUAGAUUUAUCCAUGUAUUUACCAUUUGCUUUGCUUAUCAUUGCUGCUUGCACUCCUGCCCUCUGGGUUCAGUUUCUUUUUAUCAAAAAACAUGAUUUAUCUUCAUGUAACCCUCACGUUUAGGAAUGAGAGCACUGUCAUGUGAGGUCACAGUUGCAGAGCUGGCAGUGUUGUCUCACCUUCAAGUCUCUUGUCCUUGUGUAGAGUUGCUGUUCUUCCUAAAACACUGUGUCUUCCAUGUAUACAAAUGGGAAUUUAGUAAAUAUAAUACAAAUACAAAUGGGAAUUUAGUAACUAUAAGGUGUCAUUUCACAUCAGUGGGGGAAAGUAAAUGUUGCUGUAACAAGUGAUGAGCUAAACGGGAAAAAUACAGCUGGACCUCACUAUAUUGUAUUCAAAUCCUGGCUCUGACCGUGUUUACCUGUCCAGGUCUCAUGAUUCUUAUCUGAAAAUGAAAUUGAUAGUUUCUGAGAAGAUUAAAUGAGAAUAAUACAUGCAAAGUGCUUACCCCAGUGAAUGAGACAUAAGAAUCAUUUACUAGAUGGUAGUUAUAGAUUUUUUUCUUGCUUAUUUUCUCUUCUUAAUCUGUACAUAAGUUUAGUAUGAUUAGACUAUCUCAAGUCUGUUAUGUGGCUAGGACAGUCACUUAAUUGGCUUGACUAUAAGCUUAGCUUGAGGAGCAAAAGUAUAGGUGCUAAAUUCAUGUUGAGAUAAUAGAAUACCAAGCAUUACAAUUAAAAGGAAUGUUGAGUGGUUUUUUUUGUUUUUUUGUUUUUUUUUAUAAUGGACUCUGGAGUUAAUGAUGUAGGUUAUUUGCCAAGUACUGUAUGUUGAAUGUAUUACAGAAAAAUGUCACCUUGGUACCUUCUUGAGAGAUAUCAAAGCAAGUCCAAUAUCCGUUCUUCCCCAUCACUCUACAGUGUAUCUAGUAAUAAUUAUUUGUCUUAAUCAUAAGGACAAAUAAUGAAAAUUAUAUUUCAAAUUUCUAAGCUUUCGUGGUUAAAAAAGCUUCUAGAAACUAUUGUUUCUCCUCCCAUGCAGUUAUAAUAUGCUUAACUUUCUUUAAGAUGGGUGUUUGGUAGUAUCAUUUACAAUAUAUUUAUUUUUGUUUUUUAAGCAUGUUUUUAUAUUUGUUUAAGGUGGAUAGGCAUGUAGACCUGCUAGAAGUUGCCCAGGAAACUGAUGGGUUUUCAGGAAGUGACCUAAAAGAGAUGUGUCGAGAUGCUGCCCUCCUCUGUGUUAGAGAAUAUGUUAAUUCUACAUCAGAAGAAAGGUAUGUUAUUUUGACUUGAUUUUUAACACUUGUCAAAACCUUUUAGAGCUUUUAGGUUAGUUUCUUUUAUUUUGCUUUAUAUUAGAAACACCGCUUAUGAAAUAAAAGGUAAAUUUGGAUUAUCACCCCCUGCAACUUUAUUUAUUGCCAUUUUUCCAAAGCAGAAUUCUGAAAAUGAAGGAGGGCAGAAUUGUGGGAAGGGUCUAGAAUGAAGGAGAAAAAAGGUGAAUUUCUUCUGAUGAUCCGUGGAAAUUUCACAUGUAAAUGUGAGGGGAAAUUUCCCAUGAAAUGUGGAAAUUUCCCAUGUAAAUUGGAGAUAUUGAAGACUAGACCUCAAUUUGUUAACAAAAAUGUAUUUACUGAACAAAGAAACCAUUUAUCACUGCAGCAAUUUUACUUGGAACCAGUUCCAAAGUAUAGUGAAGUUGAGAAUCCAAUUUUUUUAACAGCCUUAUUUCAGCAAAGAUACUAAUGAACUGGAAUAGGUGGUGGGCACCUGUAAUCCGAGCUACUCAGGAGGCUGAGGCAGGAGAAUUACUUGAACCUGGGAGGCAGAGGUUGCAGUGAGCUGAGAUCGCGCCAUUGCAUUCCAGCCUGGGUGACAGAACAAGACACCGUCUCAAUAAAUAAAUAAAUAAAAUGCACUAAGGACAGCUUACAUACCAGCAUUCAUUUCUUUACAUUUCUGUUUGAGCUCCAG
rnacentral:lncRNA from 1 species